GUAGUCUCGCACAGAUGCAUAUCAAUAAGCGGAGGAAAAGAAACUAACAAGGAUUCCCCUAGUAACGGCGAGUGAAGCGGGAAGAGCUCAAAUUUGAAAUCUUAAAGGGUUUCCCUUUACGAAUUGUAGUUUAAAGAAGUGUUUUCUGUUGAGGUUUUGGUAAAAGUUCUUUGGAAUAGGACAUCAUAGAGGGUGAGAAUCCCGUAUUUGACCUUUACUUUCAACUUUGUGAUACACUUUCAAAGAGUCGGAUUGUUUGGGAAUGCAGUCCAAAAUGGGUGGUAAUUUCAUCUAAAGCUAAAUAUUGGCGAGAGACCGAUAGCGAACAAGUACCGUGAGGGAAAGAUGAAAAGAACUUUGAAAAGAGAGUUAAACAGUACGUGAAAUUGUCAAAAGGGAAGCGUUUGACACCAGUGUUGUUUUCUCGAAAAUCAAUUAAAAAGAGUUAGAUUUUGUUGUGUAUUGACCUUAACAGCUUGCAUUUCAAUUUUCUUGCUUUUUUUAAUGCACUUUUCGUUUAACAAGUCAACAUCAAUUUCUUUUGUUGUAAAGAGGUCAUUGGAAGGUGGCUUUCUUUUCGGAGAAAGUGUUUAUAGCCUUUGACUCCUGCAAUCGGAGAGACUGAGGUCUGCAGCGUAGAUCCUUCGGGGUUAGAUACAUUUGUGCUAAGUUAUAGCUUUUUAUAGACAACUUGUUGACUAUGACUAGUCUUGUAGCUUACUCGCUUAUGCUAUUUUACCUACGCUUAGGAUGUUGAGCGCAUGUCUCUCUCU
rnacentral:rRNA from 1 species